UGCAGCGUGCAGGAUGAAGGCCUUCGGGUUGUAAACUGCUUUUGUCAGGGACGAAAAGGACCGUGUUAAUACCAUGGUCUGCUGACGGUACCUGAAGAAUAAGCACCGGCUAACUACGUGCCAGCAGCCGCGGUAAUACGUAGGGUGCAAGCGUUAAUCGGAAUUACUGGGCGUAAAGCGUGCGCAGGCGGUUCUGUAAGACAGAUGUGAAAUCCCCGGGCUCAACCUGGGAAUUGCAUUUGUGACUGCAGGACUAGAGUUCAUCAGAGGGGGGUGGAAUUCCAAGUGUAGCAGUGAAAUGCGUAGAUAUUUGGAAGAACACCAAUGGCGAAGGCAGCCCCCUGGGAUGCGACUGACGCUCAUGCACGAAAGCGUGGGGAGCAAGCAGGAUUAGAUACCCUGGUAGUCCACGCCCU
rnacentral:rRNA from 1 species